rnacentral:rRNA from 1 species
AACGUAGGACACAAGCGUUAUCCGGAGUUACUGGGCGUAAAGGGCGUGUAGGCGGGCCGGAAAGUCGGGCGUGAAAGCCCUGGGCUCAACCCAGGAACUGCACUCGAAACUUCCGGUCUAGAGUGGUGGAGAGGGAAGUGGAAUUCCUGGUGUAGAGGUGAAAUUCGUAGAUAUCAGGAGGAACACCAGUGGCGAAGGCGGCUUCCUGGACACCAACUGACGCUGAGACGCGAAAGCGUGGGGAGCAAACAGG